rnacentral:lncRNA from 7 species
CGUGGUUCUGUCCCACAGAAGGAACAUUUCUCAUGUCCCAGCCUGAUGGCUGGACACACCUUCUAUGAAGAAAACCCCUCAUACAGGGAAGGCACUAGAAGUUCACAGUUAAGUUGAAGUUAUUUUUGAGUGAGAAAAAGACUUAUGUAAUUAUUUCUUGUUACAUACUGCACAGAAAGGAACUACCGAGGGAGAAUGUUGAAACUACUGAAGGGAAUGCAGGGAACCAAAAACAACAUAUUAUGGCUGCAAGGCUCAAUAACAAUAAUUAAGGAGCUUCUUGCUGAUUAUAUUACAGAGUUGUCAUUGUUUUUUGGUACUGAAUGUUUAUGGCGUGUUCUGUAUCUCUGUGGUACUAUCACCUUUGUGAGGAAACAUCAAAUCUUAUUUAACUAAUUAAAAAAAAAAAAAAGGUAGCAAAAUUAUACAUAUAUAUGAGUAGACUUUUCAGGUGGCUUAAAAAGGCUCAUUAUUUUCCACCAGAGUUGACAAAUAGCUUCUCGCACUGUACCAGGCUUGUGGAACAGGUACCUAUGUGAGGUCCUAAAAUGUCCAUGGUUAAGAUCAGACGAUCAGAUCCUUGCCACACUGGAAAAAAAAUCUGUCCUGUCUGUAGGUCUUGCUUACCUGGUCUUGAAAGAUCAGCACCAGCUUUUCUGAAAAGGUGGCCUUCCACUGUGGCCUGGAAUAACCCUAUGGCUGCUGUGAAAGGCAUCUCCUGGCAAUUGCUUUGCUUCUCUGGUCUCAUAGAUUGUCAUUUGCUGGGGUAAAUUAGUCAGUAGACUGUGUUGAUUCAUAUCUAAUAGCAUGAAAAAAUAGAUGGGUCAAGCCUUGUGAGGAGGAAUAAAAGGAGACAUAUUCGUUAACAGAAAAGGAAACAAAAUGCAGUGUUUUUCAAAACAAAAUUGCAGCAGACAAGGCUUUCAGGUAUCUUUCUGUUAUUUGUAAUGAAAACUAUUUGCUUUUUAAUAGCUAUGGGAAGUAUUGUGGCUGUAAUAUACCUGUACCUCAGUAAAGGGUUUGAUGCCCUCACUGC